AGUAGCAAAGUCACGAUUCAUGGCACCCUUUUAAGUCUGAAAAGGAGGGAGAAAGCAAAAGUAGUGAACUCAAGACCUUCCUAGAAUUGUCAGCUCUUUUCUGCCCUAAGGAGUAGAGAGUUUGAGGCUUCUCAAGAAUCCAGUUUAUUCAUCUGUCUCUUGCCUAUUGAUUGUCCACUCUAUAUCAGCCAGACUGGGGGUAGACGAUUAAGGACAUGAAUUCUCUGCUGGGACCAUUUUCCCAAACUACUGCAGUGCAAGAGUGAAGAGCCUAGAAGAGCCAAGACACCUUUGAAGAAGGACAAAGCAGGAGAAUUGCCCAAUCAGACCUUGAUUCAGGGCUUCUGAUAGCCUUUAUCAAUUUUCCAGAGGAGGAAAAAGUACCUAACAAUGUCUUCCUGUGAAUUAGAAAAAUGUGCACCUCCUUCCAGGCAGACACAGCCCUGUGCCAGGGUACACAAAGCAAGAUUUGGAUUUCAGACCCCACCCAUCCUUUCAGCCUGGUGACCUAACGCAGGGCAUAACCUCUACAACGUAUGAAGCAUUGUGUUCAGUCUUAUUAUGACGCUAUAAGAGCUAACCGGCAUGUUUCUGGUACUGUGCAAAAAAAAUCAAUAAAAGAGUUAGAACCCAGAAACAUACCUUUAUAUAUAUGGAAAUUAUAUGAGAUGUUGCAUUGUGUACCAGUGGGAAAAUAAUAAUAAUUUGAUAAAUGAAUCUGAGACCAUUGGUCUCAGAAAAAAAUGCAAAUCAUACCCUUACCUCA